GUCUAAGAUUUCCCACAUACCCCUUGUUGAAAUUGAUGGUAAAAAAGUCAUCCCGAGGGCAUCAGAUUGAAAGAUGAGCCGCAAAAUCUGUGAUUGGUCAUGGGACAGGCAUUGAAAGCUAAGUUGGGGUGGAACUCGGCUUUCAGAAAGAUCCUUUGAAGGAAAAGUAAAAAGAUGUCACUUCUCUUGUUAAAAUUUUCAAAGACAAAGUAGAAAUGUUGAUGAGAUGUUAUUGGCAUAUUGUGAUUGAGUGUACCUUUGCAAAAUUACCACACUUCAAUGGGUGGAAUUUGUUGAGUAUUUUGUAAAAGGCUAGUAAAAGGGUGGGUGGUGUUUUAGUAUUUUCACAGAGCUGAAGUGAUGAUGUUUGUAAACUUCUUUCUUCGCUUUGGGGUUUAAUUUGGUAGUAGCAUUAGUUCAUUGGUUUUCUAUAAUGUGAGCUUUGUGUUUUGUAAACUCGUGUUCACUUUUUUAUUCUACUACGUAUAUUAUUUUGA